CACAGGCAUGCAUGAACACACAUAUACAUACCCACAAAAAUUCGCUCACACAUGUGCUCACACACACACACUUUAGCUCAACUCAGGUGAGCACUGUAAGUUCAACUCAGUGAAUCUAGUUAACUUGGCUAAGUCCUACCAAUACAACACUGGACUUUCAGAUUUUGAGUACCCCAGCUCGUCCCCAGGUUGGCUGAGAUACCCUCAGGGAAAUAGUAAGCAAAGAAGAGAGGGUUAGGCAUCCCAAGAGGAGGGGUGUGGACAAAAGGCACUGUGAGCAUGCCCUUAGUCCCAGCACUCAGGAGCUGAGGUAGGAAAAUCUAUAUGGAGGACAGCCAGAGCUCCACAGAGAAACUCUGUUUCAAACAAGUCAGAAGAAAACAAAACAUAACAAAAGGCUGUUAGACUCGAGCCAGCUCAUACUAUAGAGAGAACUCCCCCUCAGUACUAUGAGGAAUUGGUUCGGUUUGAAGAUCCCCAAGGAUACCAGAAUUCUCAAGUUUUGUUUUUCUUUCUAUAAAAUGUCAUUAUAUGUGCUUACUACCUAGGUACAACCUCUAGAAUACUGUAAACCACCUCUAGAUUAGUCACAAUGCCUAACACGACAGAGUGACAGGGAAAAGUAUGUACAUGUCUAGUACAUAUAAAAGAUUUCAUUCUAUUUAUUUAUCUUCUUACUUACUUACGUGUGUGUGUGUUCCAGAGUGUGUGUUGUAGAGGUCAAAGAACACCUAUGAGAGUCUGUUCUGUCCUGCUAUGUGGGUUUCAGAGUUGAGCUCAGGUCAUUAGGGUUGGUUGCAAGUGCCUUUACCUGCCGAGUCAUCUAACCAGCCUCCAAUAAAUAAUUGUUCAAAUAUUUUCAAUCCAUAGAGAGGUGAACCUUCAAAAGUAAAAUCUGUAAACCUUGAGGACUGACUGACCUUUGUGUUUCAGCUCUAAAAUCACAUGAAUUUUAAGAUAAUAGUAGUAAUAUACUAAUCACACUGCGUCAUGAUUGUCAUAAUGCAUUAUUGGGUAAUUACAACUUAAUGGCAGAAAAAGUUCUGUAAAAGAGUAACAGCAAAAGCCGGGCAGUGGGAGCACACACACACCUUUAGGGCAGUGGUAGCACUCAGUCCAAGCACUCAGGAGGCCGAGGACAGAUAGGGAACCUUGUCUUUGAACAUUUCCAUAAAUAAUGAAAUAACUAUGUCUUGAUAUUUUUCAAAAUGAUCACUGCAAUAAAAACUAAUGAGCAUGUUCAAGCCUCAUGUUUUGUUGUGUUUUGUUUUGUGAGGAAAAUCUCCUCUCCUAGAGUGCAGUAUUUGUAGUUAGGCACCGUGUUGUGCAUCUCACCUUGAGAAGUCAUCCAUCUGCCUAACUGAAGCUUAGUGCCCUUUGACCAGCAACCCGGUCAAUCACAGUUCUACUGGCUGAUGAUUCCACAUGAAGGAUGCUUUAUCAAACAGGAAAUGGGUUUUUAGUGCAACGAGGUCUCUACGAGUUCAAAAUUCUGCUUUCGAAUGUUCUUACAAGAUGCACAAUUGGCGCCAACUUACAGGAAAUAUUUUAUUGGAAUUGAAAGGUGCUGGUUCUGACAGCCUCUGUUCAUAUUGUCUACAAAUUCCCACUGCAGUAAUCUUGGUGUGUGAACAACAGCCACUCACUUAUUUACUUUGCCAGCUAUGAGUGAAACCAAAACACACUCCACUGAGCUUCCAGGACUCAGGUGCAGUUUUUGCAGAGUUGGAAGAAGAAAGGGCGAGCCAACAUGGAGAGAGGAUUCCUCAUAGGAACCACCAAACCAUCCUCCACUUGCUAGUUCCAACUUGCCCUGGGAAGCCGGAGAGCCCUCCUUGAUAAGCAGAUCUCCUUUAGGAGUGAGGUUUGCAUAUCUCAGGACCCACCCUUGGAAUAUUCAACUACCAAGCCUGCCUCCAUUCAAGCACAAAGGCCAGUUCCUGGGCAUUGACGUUUUGUAGCAAAUGUUCUUCCCUCAGGCUCCCUUAGACUCUUUCUUCUAAGAGAUUUUCACCCAAAGAAGGCAGACAGGAAAAGGCCUUAUCUUUGUAGACUUUCUAUGGAGUAGGAUAAACUACAGACAAUUGUAUCCAGCAAUUUCCCCAUCCUUAGAUUCUACAUUUUAGAGAUUAAAGACUUGUACGGACUUGUUUUCUUUGUCCCUAGACUGUUUGGGGCAGCACCUGUCAACAGAGUUGACAUUGCACUUGCUAUAGUAAAACACUCCAGAUGACUUCAAGUACACCAGGGAAGGCAGACAUGAAGACACUUUCCUGUAAUCCUGACACUGGGGAGGCAGAGGUUGGAAAACUGGGACAAAUUAGAGGCUGUCCUAGGCCAUCAGGGAUAUGUAGGUGAGAUUCUACCUAAAAAGCAAAACGAAACCAAAUAAACAAGAGCAACAAAGUCUUUCAAUAAAGUAUGUGUGAUGUCUGGCCUGAUUAGAUGCCUGCCUUGGUGGGUAGGUACAAGCUAAGACUCGGAGCCUGGAGUUCAAUGCCUAGGACCACUCAGUGGAAGGAAAUAAACUGUUCAUGUUGUCCUAUAACUGCCACAUACAAAUUGUAUGAAAAUUAAAUAAAUCCUACCACCCCCACAAAAUAACGAUAAAAAUUUUUUAUAAUAAAAAUUUUUCACAUUUUUUAAAAUGAAUUUUUAUAAUAAAAAUUUCACAUGCCC